CCUACGGGAGGCAGCAGUGGGGAAUAUUGCACAAUGGAGGAAACUCUGAUGCAGCGAUGCCGCGUGAGGGAAGAAGGUUUUCGGAUUGUAAACCUCUGUCUUCAGGGACGAUAAUGACGGUACCUGAGGAGGAAGCUCCGGCUAACUACGUGCCAGCAGCCGCGGUAAUACGUAGGGAGCGAGCGUUGUCCGGAAUUACUGGGUGUAAAGGGAGCGUAGGCGGGAUCUUAAGUCAGGUGUGAAAACUAUGGGCUCAACCCAUAGACUGCACUUGAAACUGAGGUUCUUGAGUGAAGUAGAGGCAGGCGGAAUUCCUAGUGUAGCGGUGAAAUGCGUAGAUAUUAGGAGGAACAUCAGUGGCGAAGGCGGCCUGCUGGGCUUUUACUGACGCUGAGGCUCGAAAGCGUGGGGAGCAAACAGGAUUAGAUACCCCGGUAGUC
rnacentral:rRNA from 1 species